CAAACAACAACGGGGGGGGUGGGGUGUCGGGGGGGGGGAAGAAAGACAGAGAGAGAGAGGAGUUUUUAGUAAUUAGUGCGACAUAAUUGAGUAAUGCGGCAGCUCCUCGCUCCAGCCCCCCCCUCCACCCCCCCCUUUCCCACUUCCCCCCUGCUCUUCUUCUUCCCCGAUCGAUGCAAUAUCAUUAGGGAAGAGCCCGAAAGGCAAAACGACGCGGCCCCAAAUAAGAGGCGGAGAAGCACCUGAGGGUGAGAUUUAUGGCAUCCAGCGAUCAGAAAGGUUAAAUGUGAGGCCAGAUCGAUCUUCCCCCCCCAUCGCCAUCCCUCCCCAUUGCCUGCAGCCAUCCUGGAGGACGUGGCUCAGCCUGAAGUGGCCAAGUGACCACGUAGGACCGCGGGACCCGAAGAUGCUGCUGACCAAUGGCUGCCCAAAGGAGCCCUUGUUGCUUAGCAACUCGGCUGCAGAGAGAGAGGGAGAGAGCGCAAAAAGAUGGAUUUUCAGAUUGCAGCAGCCAAGCAGAUCAAUUCUGCAACAUGGGCUACAGUGGCCAAGCGGAAUCUCUCUUGCUCCCAGCAGCAAUGAUAAAGGGAGACUUCCAAUGGAAAAGCCCAGUGGAAGAGCAGCAAUGGGAGACCCCAAUGGGAGAUCCCAAUGGGAGACCCUCAAUUGGUGACACCCACUGGGAGACAUCCAGUGGGUGACCCCUAUUGAAGAACACCAAUGGAAGAGCAUCAAAACCCCACUGGGAGACACCCAGUGGGAGACCCCAGUGGAAAACUACCCAUAGAAGAGAAUCAAGGCCUCUGUGGGUGAUGCCCAGUGAGAGACCGCAGUGGAGGUCCACAAUGGGAGACCCUAAUGGAUGAGCCCCCAGUGGAAGACCACAAUGGGAGACCCUAAUGGAUGAGCCCCCAAUGGAAGACAACAAUAGGAGUCUCCAAGCAGGCUGGACCAGAUAGCAGCUUGGAACUGAUGAACCUCCAUUUAGGACAAACUGCUGGGAUGCUGAGAUGGAAGAGCAGCACUAAAGCUGCAUCAAAAAGGAGGCUGC
rnacentral:lncRNA from 1 species